AGUGAACGCUGGCGGUAGGCCUAACACAUGCAAGUCGAACGGCAGCACAGUAAGAGCUUGCUCUUACGGGUGGCGAGUGGCGGACGGGUGAGGAAUACAUCGGAAUCUACUUUUUCGUGGGGGAUAACGUAGGGAAACUUACGCUAAUACCGCAUACGACCUACGGGUGAAAGCAGGGGAUCUUCGGACCUUGCGCGAUUGAAUGAGCCGAUGUCGGAUUAGCUAGUUGGCGGGGUAAAGGCCCACCAAGGCGACGAUCCGUAGCUGGUCUGAGAGGAUGAUCAGCAACACUGGAAAUGAGACACGGUCCAGACUCCUACGGGAGGCAGCAGUGGGGAAUAUUGGACAAUGGGCGCAAGCCUGAUCCAGCCAUACCGCGUGGGUGAAGAAGGCCUUCGGGUUGUAAAGCCCUUUUGUUGGGAAAGAAAAGCAGCAGGUUAAUACCCCGCUGUUCCGACGGUACCCAAAGAAUAAGCACCGGCUAACUUCGUG
rnacentral:rRNA from 1 species